AAACGUCAAAGGUAUCAACGUCAACGAAAGCAAAUCUUAAUCGAACCUACAUGGAUAAAAAUAUAAACCAUGGAAAAACAUUGCUCGGAUCUUGUCCCCUGGACCUUGGAGGACUUUUGGUGUGGAUGAUGUUCAGGGCCUACAAAGCAAGGUUUCUCAAACAACUGGGAGGAGUUUGUUUUGAAGGACAUUUCUAAGUGACCCCAGUUGGGGUGUGGAAGCCCGACGAACCGGCAGGAGUGUGAGACCCUGGCGAGCCGGCUGAAGCAU